AUAUUUAUAAUAAAGUGAGAAAAGAGUGAAGAAAAUCUAAAGAGAAGAACCUAAGAAUCUUAAAUCUAUGAAAAGGAAGAAAUUAGUUAAUGUUUAGAUGUUAAUUGCAAUAAACUUAAACAAGCAUGGACUCUCUAUCCUAAGGUUAACUUAGAUAUAGACAGCUCCUAACUUUCAAGACCGCCUUUGAGCACUCUAAGCUCAAGACUGACUAACUGACUCGACC
rnacentral:lncRNA from 1 species